GCAAUGCCAUUGACCAAAAGUUCAGUUAAGUAAGAUGAGCCUAAUAGUAUUCCUUACUUGACUAAAAAUUGAAUCAUUUGUUUGUUUAACCAAUUUGGUUAAUUAAGACAAGAGACAAAAUCUUAAUGCUUGCUUCUGCUUUUUGUUUGCUUCUUUUUUUGUCUUCGGCUUUUCGCUUCUUGAUUGAUAUCACAUUAUACCAAAGGAUAUUUACAAGUGUAAUAUGAGGCGAGAUCGGGUAACUUGCUUUUUUCAAGUUUACUUUAACCGACAAUUUAUUGUUAAGUAAGGCUGUUUUAUCAGACGAUGAUGAUAAAUGACGAUCAAAACAGGAGCUGAAGACAAAAGAGGAGACAAGAUCCACAUUAUGACCAUAAUCCUUUGGCUUACCAAUGAUUUGUGUAGAAAAUUUACUCAAGCUGUUCAUUUCAAUUUUAGAGUUUGAAAAGAUAACUAGUUUUGUUCUCUUUCCAUUCUUCUUUUUCUCUAAACAUUUAUUUCUAGUUAAAGUCUUAUUUUCUUUAAAUAUUUUCAUAAAUUCAUAUUUGUGUUACGAUAUUUAUAAUUGUUUUUAUUGUUUUUUCAAAAAUAUUUUCCCACAAGUAUUUCUAUUCACCAUGUCAGUGCGUCUUAGACCCCAAUCGAGUUCAAAUGUUAUCGUCGGUCAUCACUCGGGAGGAUGGUUUGAGAUAGACAAAGGUCUAUUUUCCUCUGUCGCGACAUCGGUCGCCACACUAUUCACCUCUGACCGUGAGGUCAAAAGGAUUUUGAUCCCUGACACCGUUGCUCCUUCAGUUUUUGUGGCCAUUAAAGCCAUGUUCCAUGGAGAUGAAGUGGAUGUUGAACCGGAAGAUUUAAAGGAAUUUACUAAGCAACUGGAAAGCAUUGGUGUAAAAGUUGUAAAAGUUUAUCAUUCUUCUUCUGUUACCGACGAUAGACCAAUGGUUAUUGUCAAGCAACUUUACAAAUUAUGGCGAGCAAUUAUCCUUUGGCCAAGACAUGAGUCUGAUCGACUGAUUAAUGUUAGGGUCCAACCAUUUUACACUUCUUAUGUGCCCAAAGAUACUCCAUGUCAGGAGUUUAAGAUGUAUGAAAAAGAAGAUCUGGUGAAAAGCUUCGCUUAUUAUAAUAUAAAAUUUACACACGGAGAUUUCAGAAAUAAACUCACCUGUGUUGGUCCAAACAAUAAGACUUUUAAAGUCAAAAGAAAGAAAAUGAUAAAUUUAUCUACUUUGAAAUUCAAAACAUUCGAGCGAUAUGCAGGAGACAUAAAUUAUGUUUUCCUUCCUGCAAAUAUAUCGGAAUUCACUUUUGAUCAAUUUCAGUCUCUUGUUUUGAAUGAAAUGUGCACCAUCCCCAUGCAAAAGUUUGAAAAAUUCAAAACAGAGUUGGAGACCAUCGGGCUUUCUAUUGAAAUCAGUGAUCUUAUUGAUGUAGACCACAAACAUCAAUAUAGAGUUUUAGCCAGGAAAGCCAAAAAGGAUAAAUCUAAAUCUUUUGUUUACAUUUGCGAAUUUAAUCCUAAGUAUGCCAUAAACCCAGCUGCAGCCACGGAAGAACCAGUUGUGGAAAUCACACGAUUGGAGUUGAAUGAUGAACAACCAGAACCAGAACCAGAACCAGAGCCAGAGCCAGAGCCAGAGACAGAGCCUCCAAAAAAAAGGAAAUGUUUAAUUUAAAUAUUAAAAAAGAUAAUUUGAUAAUUUUAUAAAGCAAUUCAGUUACAUGUCAAUUUCCUCAUUUUCUCAUAAUUUCCGCCCUUAUAAUCAUAAUAAAAUUUAAGUCAUUCUAACACCUUUUGUUUGUCUAUUUUCUCAAAUGUUUAAAGUCGUUUAGUUUUAUGUUGUUUAAGUGAUAAGAAACAUUAAUUUCUAUGUUUUGUGUGUUUUUUAAUCGAUUGUUGGUGCUUCUAAUCGAUUCAACUUCAAGAUCCAUUGAGAACACUUGAAAAAGUUUUAUCGUCAUCAUCCAUGGACAAGAAGAGCAGAAGGUGAUGUUUCAUCAGACUAUUUUGGUUUCCAUAUUCAUCCAUAUCAGAGGCAACUGGUGAAGCGUUUGGCUCUUAGUAGUUUAGUACUAGGUUAAGCAACACCAGUGAGAUGAAGCGGCUAAGGGAACGAGUUACUCAGUUAAAGGAGGAUAAAAUUUAACAAAGGAACAACAGCAACUGCUUUAUGGUAUACUUCAACAUGUAUGUGUAAUAGCGAGCAUAAUACCAACCAGGAAGAAUCGUUUUGUAGUUUACUUCAUGUUCAUUGGUUUUCAACAUUCAAGAUAUUUUUAGUCCAAAUUCGGAGUGUCAAAAUGCCACCUUGACUAUCACUUAUUACCAUCAAACUUUCAUCGUAUUAA